CCUACGGGUGGCAGCAGUGGGGAAUAUUGGGCAAUGGGCGCAAGCCUGACCCAGCAACGCCGCGUGAAGGAAGAAGGCUUUCGGGUUGUAAACUUCUUUUCUCAGGGACGAAGCAAGUGACGGUACCUGAGGAAUAAGCAACGGCUAACUCCGUGCCAGCAGCCGCGGGAAUACGUAGGUGGCAAGCGUUAGCCGGAUUUACUGGGUGUAAAGGAAGCGUAGACGGCGAUGCAAGUCUGAAGUGAAAGGCGGGGGCCCAACCUGUGGCCUGCCUUUGAAACUGUAGUUCUUGAGUACUGGAGAGGCAGUCGGAAUUCCUAGUGUAGCGGUGAAAUGCGUAGAUAUUAGGCGGAACACCAGUGGCGACGGCGGUCUGCUGGACAGCAACUGACGCUGAGGCGCGACAGCGUGGGGAGCAAACAGGAUUAGAUACCCUUGUAGUC
rnacentral:rRNA from 1 species